CGGGAGGGAGGGAGGCAGGGCGGCAGGGCGGGGGCCGCCCACCCGGGAGACGGAAAAAAGUCUCGGCCGAAGGUGCCGGGAUCCGCGAGGAGAGUUCUGCCGUGCUUCUCUCUUACAGAAACCCGAGCUGUCCCGUGCUUACUUCCCUGAGCCAGGCUGAUGUCAGGGCUGUGCGUCGUGGAGCCGGCUGUGAAAUCCUUCUGACAGCCCUGCUGGGGUCUCUCCUCCUGGAAACUCCCAACGCUAACAGGCCCUGCUGCGCCCAGCUUAGGCAGGUUCACUUCGUUCUCUUUUUCUUCUCUUUCUCUCCUUUAUUUCCUUCUUUCCCCCUUUCUUUUCUUUUAUUUUUUCUUUCUCCUUUUUCCUUUUUUUCUUUUUUCUUUUUUUUCCCCCUUUUUCUUUUCUUCUUUUUCUUCUCUCUCUCUCUCUCUCUCUUUUUUUUCUCUCUCUCUUUUUAUUUUCCUUCUCCUUUUUUCUUCCUUCCCAUCCCCAACCCACCCGCUCCCAGGGGCCAUUUUGAGUUCCCCCGUGCCUCACUCCCUGCCAGUCCCCACCCGGGGCCGGCAGUCGGUGCGCGGUGUGGGCCGUGCAGGAGCUGCGGGCUGCAACCGCUGUCUACGUUUUCCAUCAUUGCCGGGCGGAGAGAGGUGCUGUGAGGCGCGUCCCUCCACCGCAGAAAAGCGGGGCUUCUCUGGGCGUCUGCUCGCAGAGGAAUUACCGCUCCUCAGCAAGUAGGGCUCACAGGCUCGCGUUAACGUAUCAGCCGCAUGUUACCGCAAGAAGUGCGGUGCGAAUGAAGGCUGGGGCGGGGGAGGCUGCCGAGGGACCGCGGAUCCCGCUGGCCGGGAGCGCUUCUAAGCGCCCGACCCCGGGCGGCGGCGACAGAGCUGGAACGGGCGUGGGGAACCGCCGGGACGUGGGGACAUGUCAGCACGGCCCGCGGGGAAGAGACGCUCCUCCGCUCCCAGUCCCCAGCAGAUAAAUCUGCCGCGUGCCCGAGAUUUCGGGAUUGCUCCAUUCAGCCAGUGGGGGACGUGUAAGGUGCAGUAGUUGGGGCACGGCGUCCCGACAGAGCAGCAGUCGUCACCCAGCAGCUCUAUGCCACGGCACUCAGGAUUGUUCCGAGCUUCUUUAUGGCACUUCGGUCUUAGAGUUGUUUCUUGUAUUUUACCAUCUCGCUUCAUAACAAACGCAUCUCAUUUCCUGCACCCCAUGAACAGCCCCAUGUGUGAAACUGUUCUGCAGCUUUUAUUUUCUCUUACUGGGGAGCUUUCCGAGCGGUAGAGGAAGACAAUCAGCCGUGGCUGAGAACAAGGAAGCUGUAUUUUCUUCCUCAUUGGUAACUGCUGGGGAAAGUUGGGGGAAAGCAAGAAAAAAAUAGUGGUGGUUUUCUUUUCCCCCACCUGAUUUGAUUGGAACUAAAAGUUUGAGGUGAUUUCUACCAAAGUCACACCAAGGUGGCUCUGACAGAUUGAGGAAAGGGCAGAGAACCGAGGAAAGCGUGUGUUGCGAGUCUGAGGGGAAUAAAAGCAAAGGCACGUGGCGUUGCCGGGACUGUGGCUGCGCAGUGGGUGUGCAGCGUUUUCGUCCCGGUUCGCGGCGAGCAGCCUGGCAGUGAGCUGCCUGCAGGGCUCCUGCCAACAGGUCGCCAUGGGGCUGAGCCUUCCGUAGCUGCUGUGGGGCUGCGGCCAUGAGUGUGCAGUGAUAGAGCUGCGCUGCCCCGGCGGGCUGCGCUCCCACCCGCGGGUUGUUUCAUUUUACUUCAGUUCUGGGAAGUAUAAAAACUGCACGGAGACUUGCUGUAAGAAAGCACGAUGUCAAGCUGCUGAUGAGUUAAAAGAAAAUAUAUCAAGAAGGGGAAAUAUAGUAUUUAUAGAUCCUUCGCAGUGACAUCUUUCAGCGGUUAUCACUGGGUCACACCUCCGCAGAUGUGUUCUCGGUGAAGCCGGCUAUUGGGUUUUCAGGCUGCCUACCGAAAGCACAGCUCCACGUGCCCUGCAGUUUGCAUCCCCCACCUUCUGGUGCCUACAGAGAUCAAUGAAUGCACUCUCUUGGGUCGAGUGCUGCCUCCUGGCCCCCAGUCAGUAGGUGCCACUUGUUUGUGCGGUGCUCUCGUUAAAUGCAUGAAAUGCUCGAGCUGUCACUGCUUCCUGGGUGAUGGGGAAAGGCAGAAUGUGCUCUGGCACAGGGCUGUGCAGGAUGGUGAUGGUGAGGAUGGCGGGGUGGCACCCCUGGGCUGCGGGGACAUGAACCCUGCAGGUGUGAGCCUCAUCCUUCCCUCCUCGCACCUUUGCAUGCUUCCUCUGUGAGCUCGGGCGCUCAGACCAAUUAAUUCCAUUAGCAAAGGGUGUAAAUUAGAAGUGUCUGUGAACUGUAUUGAACCUCAAUUUGCACGGUCUUAUUCACAACAAAAGUGGCUGCAAUUUGAUUUAAAUUAAUUCACUUUCAGAAUAAAAUAACACUGAAUAGAAUAAAAGCAGCUUUAGUUUUGAAUGGUUGUCUGCAUAGAAUUGUUUGUGGUUUAACUAAUCCACUUUAAAAAUUAACUCUAUUAAUUUUUGUGGGCUUUUCCAUCUAGGUUAGCUUGCUUUGUCUCUUUCUUUCAGUCUCCUAUCAGUAAAAUGGAGAUAGUAAUAGCCUGCUAGCAUCUUAAAAUCACUGUGUUGAAUACUCUUGGUAACUGCAGCAUUUUGCCUUCCACUCGGUGUGUACGUUCCUCAAAAGCCAGGACUUGAUUUUCUACACAUGUGCAGAAUUCUUGCCUGGCAGUGUUUUACAGGCUCUGUAUGCAGCUGUACACGGCCACACAAGACAGAUAGCAGUGGGGAAUUAAGGCUUUGCUGCGCGUUUUGAACUCUGACCAAACAUCUCCUUGGCUUUGGCUCCGUGUUUUCUUCAAAGACUGUGGGCCAAGACUUAAGAACUGUCUAACUUUCGUCAUCUUAAUGAACGGCUUCAGUGGUGUUAAUGGGAACUGGGGCGCUUUCUUUAUUAAUGGAAAUCAGGUCACUUAAUUACCUAACAAAAAUGCACGGAACCUUGUCUCACUGUUUUCUGCACUUCACGAAUUAUGAACUUUAAUCUGUCUUAGAGAGAGCUCUGCUAAAAUGGAUGAAGCUGUAGCCGGUAUAAAAUUAUCUUUUUGUAAUGGAAAUACUUCUUGUAAAAAUGAACACACUAACAUGACUUUCUUAUUGGAAGUCACUGCUAUUUAAGUCUUUGCAGCGAUGUAGCAUGGUUUGACUAGCUGGUGGUACAUAACGACUGAAAGGCCGGAUGAACACAUCAGCACAUCUUCUGUCAAAAGUGGGAACACUGAGAUAUUAUUAUUUUUUGAAAUCAAAGCUUGGUGGGUUUUGGACUGGAAGGAUUCUUUUCUUUCUUCCCAUCCCUCCCCCCACCCUACUGUCUGCUUCAACAUUUCCCUUUCUUUCUUGAGUGGUUUCACUCCAAGUGGGACUUCUUUUGUGCCUUUCGGUUGCCAAAAGCUGGAGAGUUGUCAUUAUUUGAAUUUUGCUGUUGGUUGUUCUUUUAAAAUAAAAACCAAGAUGUUUUCCAGAGAGUUAGGAAGGAACCAGUUCUCGGGAAGCGCUAAGGAAACAGUAACGGCUUUAGCUGAGGGAAAAGUAUAAAUCAUCUUCAGGCUUCAAAUCUAGCUGUUAAGAAUAAAGCACAUCACCUAAUGCUCUAAAAAUACCCAUGUACAUAGACUAUGUACAUACAACAAAAAUAAGCAACCCUAGAUAUUCUGGCAAGAUCUGUGGUAUUUUAUUUCACUUCCUCAGUAACAGUAGUCAUUGUUGGCACCUGGAAGUGACUGUGAAAAUACAGAUCCCUGUAAAGCUGGGUAAAUAAAGGGACAUGCUCCACUUCUGCUUGUCAGUAGAAGAAACUAUGACGUUGACAAAAUUAUUAAUGAAAAUAUUUUCUCAAUCUCUGCCAUAAAAAAAUGCAGGGGCAAAAUAAAUCCUCGGUAAAAUCUGUUCCCGAAAUAAGCAGGCAUAAAAACAAUACCGAGCCAGAGACUUCGACUGCCACAGAAUUUGGUUAAGGAUCUUAAGACAAAAAGGUAACCUGUUUUUCCACGAACUCAAAGCUACAAAUGCUGGCAUGAAUGUGUGUCCAUGAGGAGAACAGCCAUCUUAAACAGCAGAAAGUUCCCUUUUGUCCAUCAGCCUUUUUCAGAGGGAAAGAAACUGCUGUUGUCUUGGUUGUCCUCGGCAUUGUGUAUUAGAACUGCCUGCUCCAAAGCAGGACUUUCUCUGAUCCUAUCGUUAACAUUGCAUCUGAUCCUGCUGAGCUAACUGGGAAAUCUUGUGUUGACUGAAUAUGGCUUUUGCUUGAAUAAAGAAGUUGAAGAGCUCUCUGGAAGAGCUGGGCCUAAUUCCAAUUUUCUUCUCAGUUCUAAAAUAAAAG
ensembl:lncRNA